GAUUAAGCUACUAAGAGCGUACGGUGGAUGCCAUGGCGUCAAGAGCCGAUGAAGGGCGUGGUUGACUGCGAUAAGCCCCGGGGAGCCGUCAGCAGGCUUUGAUCCGGGGAUUCCCGAAUGGGGUAACCCACCCAGGCAAUACCUGGGUACCGCUGGCUGAAUUCAUAGGCCAGUUGGAGGGUACGGAGGGAACUGAAACAUCUCAGUACCUCCAGGAAAAGAGAUCAUUCCCCUAGUAGUGGCGAGCGAACGGGGAAAAGCCCAAACCCAUCAUGUGUUCAAGGCUGCAGCCGUUGCAUGAUGGGGGUUGCAAGGCGUGGCAGGACUUCUGCAGGAGUCCAAGGAAGUUACCAAUCUAGUCUCUAGCCGAAAGACUCUGGAAAGGUCUGUCAUAGAGGGUGAUAACCCCGUAGGCGAAAGGGAUCUAGACUUCCGCCACUGACCUUGAGUACCGCGGGGCACGCUAAUCCUGCGGGAAGCAGGGGAGCCCACUCUCCAAGGCUAAACACUCUUGACGACCGAUAGUGAACCAGUACCGUGAGGGAAAGGUGAAAAGAACCGGGGUGACCGGAGUGAAAUAGAACCUGAAACCGUAUGCUUACAACCAGUGGGAGGGCGUUGCCCUGCCUACGGGCAGGGUUGGCCUGACCGCGUGCCUUUUGGAGAAUGACCCGGCGAGUCAAUCUUUGUGGCAAGGUUAAGGGGGUAACACCCGGAGCCGCAGCGAAAGCGAGUCCGAAUAGGGCGUAUAGUCGCAAGGAUUGGACCCGAAACCAGGUGAGCUACCCAUGGCCAGGGUGAAGCGAAGGUAACACUUCGUGGAGGCCCGAACUCUUCACUGUUGCAAAAGUGAGGGAUGAGCUGUGGGUAGAGGUGAAAUGCCAAACGAACCUGGAGAUAGCUGGUUCUCCCCGAAAUAGCUUUAGGGCUAGCCUCAAGGGUUCAGUAGCGGAGGUAGAGCACUGGAUUGGCUAGGGGGCGUAGAGCUUACCAAACCAAACCAAACUCCGAAUGCCGCUACUCCAUACCUUGGGAGUCGGACAGCGAGAGAUGAAUUCCGUUGUCGAGAGGAAAACAACCCAGACCACCGGCUAAGGUCCCCAAGUCUAGGCUAAGUGGGAAAGGAUGUGAGAUUGCCCGGACAGCCAGGAGGUUGGCUUAGAAGCAGCCAUCCUUUAAAGAGUGCGUAAUAGCUCACUGGUCGAGUGAUCUCGCGCCGACAAUAUACGGGGCUCAAGCCUAGCGCCGAAGCCGUGGACCCCGAUCCACAGGAUCGGGGUGGUAGGGGAGCGUUCUGCUCGCUGCGAAGCCAGACCGUGAGGACUGGUGGAGCGUGCAGAAGUGCGAAUGCCGGGAUGAGUAGCGCAAAACACGUGAGAAUCGUGUUCGCCGUAAACCUAAGGUUUCCUACGGAAGGUUCGUCCGCGUAGGGUUAGUCGGGCCUAAGCCGAGGGCUAGAGCCGUAGGCGAUGGACAACGGGUCAACAUUCCCGUACCACCUGAGGGGAGCUAUGGGGAGACGCAGGAUGGUAGGCCAGCCCGUUAUUGGAUUCGGGUGCUAAGCCUGUAGGGAGAUGAGGGCAGUAGGCAAAUCCGCAGCCUGAUCCUGAGGGGUGAUGGCGGUGCCUUAGUGCCACAAGUGGCUAAGCCAAACUGCCGAGAAAAUCCUCUGUGCGUUGAACCUCGGGUGCCCGUACCGCAAACCGACACUGGUAGGUGGGUAGAGUAUACCAAGGCGAUCGGGAGAACCCUCGUUAAGGAACUAAGCAAAAUGACUCCGUAACUUCGGGAGAAGGAGUGCCCCGUUAGGGUGAGCGCUAAGCAAAGCCCGAGGGGGUCGCAGAGAAACGGCCCUGCCGACUGUUUAACAAAAACACAGGUCUCUGCUAAAGCGAAAGCUGAAGUAUAGGGGCUGACGCCUGCCCAGUGCCGGAAGGUUAAAGGGAUGGGUUAUCCUUCGCGCAAGCGAGGGAGAAGCUCAGAACUGAAGCCCCGGUGAACGGCGGCCGUAACUAUAACGGUCCUAAGGUAGCGAAAUUCCUUGUCGGGUAAGUUCCGACCCGCACGAAUGGCGUAACGAGUGGGGCGCUGUCUCAACGAGGGACCCGGCGAAAUUGAAGUAGGCGUGAAGAUGCGUCUUACCCGCAGCAGGACAAAAAGACCCCGUGGAGCUUUACUGCAGCUUGGUAUUGAGUUGAGGCUUGGUCUGUGUAGGAUAGGUGGGAGACGGUGAAGCUGGGGCGCCAGCCUCGGUGGAGUCAACCUUGAAAUACCACCCUGAUCAAGUUUCGGCCCUAACCCGCAGCCGUUAUCCGGCGUGGGGACAGUGCCAGGUGGGCAGUUUGACUGGGGCGGUCACCUCCUAAAAGGUAACGGAGGCGCUCAAAGGUUCCCUCAGGCUGAAUGGAAACCAGCCGUGGAGUGUAAAGGCACAAGGGAGCUUGACUGCGAGACCUACAAGUCGAGCAGAGACGAAAGUCGGACUUAGUGAUCCUACGGUUCCGUGUGGAAGGGCCGUAGCUUACCGGACAAAAGCUACCCCGGGGAUAACAGGGUAGUCUUGCCCAAGAGUUCACAUCGACGGCAAGGGUCGCCACCUCGAUGUCGGCUCGUCACAUCCUGGGGCUGGACAAGGUCCCAAGGGUUCGGCUGUUCGCCGAUUAAAGUGGCACGCGAGCUGGGUUCAGAACGUCGUGAGACAGUUCGGUCUCUAUCCGCUGUGGGCGCAGGUGACUUGAGGGGAGCUGCCCUCAGUACGAGAGGACCAGGGUGGACGGGCCUCUAGUGUGCCAGUUGUACCGCCAGGUGCAUCGCUGGGUAGCUACGCCCGGCAGAGAUAACCGCUGAAAGCAUCUAAGUGGGAAACUCGCCCCAAGAUUAGGUCACCCACUCCGUCAAGGAGGUAAGACCCCUGGGAGACUACCAGGUUGAUAGGCGGCAUGUGUAAGGGCAGCAAUGCCUUUAGCUAAGCCGUACUAAUGGUCGAGGGCUUAAUCUCA
rnacentral:rRNA from 1 species